rnacentral:tRNA from 1 species
GAAAUGUGCCCGAGACACCAAGGGUUACUUUGAUAGAGUAAAAUACAGAGAAUAAACCUCUCAUUUCCU